rnacentral:rRNA from 1 species
GGGAAUCUUCCACAAUGGACGCAAGUCUGAUGGAGCAACGCCGCGUGAGUGAAGAAGGUCUUCGGAUCGUAAAGCUCUGUUGUUGGUGAAGAAGGAUAGAGGCAGUAACUGGUCUUUAUUUGACGGUAAUCAACCAGAAAGUCACGGCUAACUACGUGCCAGCAGCCGCGGUAAUACGUAGGUGGCAAGCGUUGUCCGGAUUUAUUGGGCGUAAAGCGAGCGCAGGCGGAAUGAUAAGUCUGAUGUGAAAGCCCACGGCUCAACCGUGGAACUGCAUCGGAAACUGUCAUUCUUGAGUGCAGAAGAGGAGAGUGGAACUCCAUGUGUAGCGGUGGAAUGCGUAGAUAUAUGGAAGAACACCAGUGGCGAAGGCGGCUCUCUGGUCUGCAACUGACGCUGAGGCUCGAAAGCAUGGGUAGCGAACAGGAUUAGAUACCCUGGUAGUCCAUGCCGUAAACGAUGAGCGCUAGGUGUU